AGCAGCCGCGGUAAUUCCAGCUCCAAUAGCGUAUAUUAAAGUUGUUGCAGUUAAAAAGCUCGUAGUUGAAUUUCGGGGUUAGUAGGUUGGUCAUGCCUCUGGUAUGUACUGAUCUCACUGAUUCCUCCUUCCUUAUGAACCGUAAUGCCAUUAAUUUGGUGUUGCGGGGAAUUUGGACUGUUACUUUGAAAAAAUUAGAGUGUUUAAAGCAAGCUAACGCUUGAAUACAUUAGCAUGGAAUAAUGAAAUAGGACGUUCGAUCUUAUUUUGUUGGUUUCUAGGAUUGACGUAAUGAUUAAUAGGGAUAGUUGGGGGCAUUAGUAUUCAAUUGUCAGAGGUGAAAUUCUUGGAUUUAUUGAAGACUAACUACUGCGAAAGCAUUUGCCAAGGAUGUUUUCAUUAAUCAAGAACGAAAGUUAGGGGAUCGAAGACGAUCAGAUACCGUCGUAG
rnacentral:rRNA from 1 species